rnacentral:misc_RNA from 1 species
AAGGUAUUGUAUCAUGUACUUGGCCAGACUUAAUUUGAAAUGCUCUUCAAUUCUUUUGGGCUAAUGUAUGUAGCCAUGGGUGAGUAAAAAAAUAUUCCUCAUUCGUUUGUAGCAUAUUUGAAAUUCUGGCAUGGUAGAUGUUGAGGUAUUUCUGUUUCUAUGAGUGUAGAGGUAAAAAGUAAAUAUCUGAUCAGGUUGAGAACUUGCUAAAGCCUGAGUUAAGGCUUUUCUGAUUUGAAAGAAUAGGUGUUGAAAUUAGGAUGACACAACAUUUGUUUUGCUUAGCGGACUAGAAUAUCUCGCUUUGCCUACACUCCCUUCUAUUUUUUGCACCAAAUUGUUGAGCAGCUGUUUCAAUUUCCUAAAGAAAUUUAGAAGUUGGCCUGCUUCUCUAACAUUUAGGGAUCCAUAUUAGGGUGCUGAAUCUCACAUUUUUU